rnacentral:rRNA from 1 species
CGGACGGGUGAGUAACGCGUGGGUAACCUGCCUCAUACAGGGGGAUAACAGUUAGAAAUGGCUGCUAAUACCGCAUAAGACCACAGCACCGCAUGGUGCAGGGGUAAAAACUCCGGUGGUACAGGAUGGUCCCGCGUCUGAUUAGCCAGUUGGCAGGGUAACGGCCUACCAAAGCGACGAUCAGUAGCCGGCCUGAGAGGGUGAACGGCCACAUUGGGACUGAGACACGGCCCAA